rnacentral:rRNA from 1 species
AUUGAACGCUGGCGGCAGGCCUAACACAUGCAAGUCGAGCGAGCGGCGGACGGGUGAGUAAUGUCUGGGAAACUGCCCGAUGGAGGGGGAUAACUACUGGAAACGGUAGCUAAUACCGCAUACCAUCAGAUGUGCCCAGAUGGGAUUAGCUAGUAGGUGGGGUAAAGGCUCACCUAGGCGACGAUCCCUAGCUGGUCUGAGAGGAUGACCAGCCACACUGGAACAGAGACACGGUCAAGAAUCCUACGGGAGGCAGCAGUGGGGAAUAUUGCACAAUGGGCGCAAGCCGGAGACAGCCAUGCAGAGUGUAUGAAGAAGGCAUUCGGGUUGUAAAGCACUUUCAGCGAGGAGACGUUACUCGCAGAAGAAGCACCGGCUAACUCCGUGCCAGCAGCCGCGGUAAUUC